AGAAUCAACGCUGGCGGCGUGCCUAACACAUGCAAGUCGAACGAGAAAGGGAUUUCGGUCCUGAGUAUAGUGGCGCACGGGUGAGUAACACGUGAAUAAUCUACCUCCGAGUGGGGAAUAACUGAGAGAAAUCUUAGCUAAUACCGCAUAACACUUACGAGUCAAAGCAGCAAUGCGCUUGGAGAGGAGUUCGCGGCCGAUUAGUUAGUUGGCGGGGUAAUGGCCCACCAAGACAGUGAUCUGUA
rnacentral:rRNA from 1 species